rnacentral:rRNA from 1 species
CUGGCGGCAGGCUUAACACAUGCAAGUCGAACGGUUGUAGCAAUACAGCAGUGGCAGACGGGUGAGUAACACGUGGGAACCUUCCUAGGGGUACGGAACAACUCAGGGAAACUUGAGCUAAUACCGUAUACGUCCGUGAGGAGAAAGAUUUAUCGCCCUUAGACGGGCCCGCGUCGGAUUAGCUAGUUGGUGGGGUAACGGCCUACCAAGGCGACGAUCCGUAGCUGAUCUUAGAGGAUGAUCAGCCACACUGGGACUGAGACACGGCCCAGACUCC